rnacentral:rRNA from 1 species
UCCGUAGGGUGCGAGCGUUAAUCGGAAUUACUGGGCGUAAAGCGUGCGCAGGCGGUCUGUUAAUACCGAUGUGAAAUCCCCGGGCUUAACCUGGGAACUGCAUUGGUGACUGGCAGGCUUUGAGUGUGGCAGAGGGAGGUAGAAUUCCACGUGUAGCAGUGAAAUGCGUAGAGAUGUGGAGGAAUACCGAUGGCGAAGGCAGCCUCCUGGGCCAACACUGACGCUCAUGCACGAAAGCGUGGGGAGCAAACAGG